rnacentral:tRNA from 1 species
GGGCCUGUAGUUCAGUCUGGUUAGAAUGAUCGACUGAUAAUCGAUUGGUCCUCAGUUCAAAUCUGAGCAGGCCCA